rnacentral:rRNA from 1 species
UAGGGAAUCUUCCGCAAUGGACGCAAGUCUGACGGAGCAACGCCGCGUGAGUGAAGAAGGAUUUCGGUUCGUAAAACUCUGUUGUUAGAGAAGAACAGCGCAUAGAGUAACUGUUAUGCGUGUGACGGUAUCUAACCAGAAAGCCACGGCUAACUACGUGCCAGCAGCCGCGGUAAUACGUAGGUGGCAAGCGUUGUCCGGAUUUAUUGGGCGUAAAGCGAGCGCAGGCGGUCAAUUAAGUCUGAUGUGAAAGCCCCCGGCUCAACCGGGGAGGGUCAUUGGAAACUGGUUGACUUGAGUGCAGAAGAGGAGAGUGGAAUUCCAUGUGUAGCGGUGAAAUGCGUAGAGAUAUGGAGGAACACCAGUGGCGAAGGCGACUCUCUGGUCUGUAACUGACGCUGAGGUUCGAAAGCGUGGGUAGCAAACAGG